GGGUUUCUCAAGAAGGCACUAACGCUCUUUAUUUUCUAGCAGGAAGAGGAUAUAAAGUUUCCAAAUCUAAUGCUCAGCUCUGUCAAACUUCAGUGAGGUACCUUGGUCUAGUCUUGUCAGAAAGAACCAAAACAUUAGUAAUCACCUCCUCAAAUAUGAAGCUUUGCGGCUGGAAAAACCUGCAGUUCAGUUAAAGACCUGUCCUGGCCUGAACCCAGCCACUUUUCUCCCAGAGGAAACUGGAGAACCUGAACAGGAGUGUAAACAAAUGGUGGUGCAAAUCUAUGCAGCCAAAAAAACCUCAAGGAAAUAGGAGGAGGAAGUCACAUCUUACGUGGAUGGCGGUGGGCAAAGAGAGAGCCUGUGCUGGCAAACUCCUGUUUUUAAAGCCAUCAGAUUUCCUGAGACUCAUUCACUAUCAUGAGAACAGUGCAGGAAAGACCCGCCCCCACAAUUCAAUCACCUUUCACCGGGUUCCUCCCACAACACAAGGGAAUUGUGGGAGUUACAAUUCAAGUUGAGAUUUGGGUGGGUACACAGCCAAACCAUAUCACUAUCUUGGGGUUCCCUCUGCUGGCUUCACCUUUAACCAUUAAAAAUGGAUAUAAAUAAAACAUGGUACGGGAGCAUUUUUAAUGCUACCCAAAAAAACACACACCCUGAGGGUAAGACUUUAGACUAGGUAAAGUUAAUAAGAUAGCAAAUGUCUUCUGCUUUAAAAGCAGAGGAAAAGAACCAUACUUGGGAAACGUUUAAAUAUUCCAAAAGUAUGCUCAUAAUUGCUAAGAGUACAGAGAUCUGGAGACUAAGAAGGAACAAGGGUGACACCAAACUGGGAGAGACUAUAGAAAAAUUUUUUCAGGUAUGUCUUUAUCAGCAGCAUGAAAACAAACUAAUGCAGUACAUUGGUACCAGUAGAGUCGGGUGUUGCUGAGAAGAUAUCCGAAAAUGCGGAAGUGACUUUGGAACUAGGUAACAGGCAGACAUUGGAAAAGUUUUAAGGGCUCAAGAGAAGACAGGAAAGUGUAGGAAAGUUUGGAACUCCCUAGAGUCUUGUUGAAUGGCUUUGUCCAACAUUUGGUAGCGAUAUGGACAAUAAAAUUCUAGCUGAGGUAAUUUCAGAUGAAGAUGAGGAAUUUGUUGGGAACUGGAGCAAAGGUGACUCUUGUUAUGUUUUAGCAAAGAGACUGGGGGCAUUUUGCCCCUGCCCUAGAGAACUGUGGAACUUUUAACUCGAGAGAGAUGAUUUAGGGUAUCUGGCGGAAGAAAUUUCUAAGCAAAGCAUUCAAAAAGUGACGGGUGCUGUUAAAAGCAUUUUGUUUCAAGGAAUUUAUCCAUUUCUUCUAGAUUUUCUAGUUUAUUUGCAUAGAGGUGUUUGUAGUAUUC
rnacentral:lncRNA from 1 species